rnacentral:rRNA from 1 species
AGAGUUUGAUCAUGGCUCAGAAUCAACGCUGGCGGCGUGCCUAACACAUGCAAGUCGCACGAGAAAGUGGAGCAAUCCAUGUGUAAAGUGGCGCACGGGUGAGUAACACGUGAAUGAUCUACCUCCGAGUGGGGAAUAACUGAGAGAAAUCUUAGCUAAUACCGCAUAAUACCCACGGGUCAAAGCAGCAAUGCGCUUGGAGAGGAGUUCGCGGCCGAUUAGCUAGUUGGCGGGGUAAUGGCCCACCAAGGCGAUGAUCGGUAUCCGGCCUGAGAGGGCGCACGGACACACUGGAACUGAAACACGGUCCAGACUCCUACGGGAGGCAGCAGUAGGGAAUUUUGCGCAAUGGGGGAAACCCUGACGCAGCAACGCCGCGUGGAGGAUGAAAUCCCUUGGGAUGUAAACUCCUUUCGAUAGGGAAGAUAAUGACGGUACCUAUAGAAGAAGCCCCGGCUAACUUCGUGCCAGCAGCCGCGGUAAUACGAGGGGGGCAAGCGUUGUUCGGAAUUAUUGGGCGUAAAGGGUGCGUAGGCGGUUUGGUAAGUCUUUCGUGAAAUCUAUGGGCUCAACUCAUAGACUGCAAGGGAAACUGCCGGGCUUGAGUGUGGGAGAGGUGAGUGGAAUUCCUGGUGUAGCGGUGAAAUGCGUAGAUAUCAGGAGGAACACCUGCGGCGAAAGCGGCUCACUGGACCACAACUGACGCUGAUGCACGAAAGCUAGGGGAGCAAACAGGAUUAGAUACCCUGGUAGUCUUAGCCCUAAACGAUGAUUGCUUGGUGUGACGGGUACCCAAUCCCGCCGUGCCGUAGCUAACGCGUUAAGC